rnacentral:rRNA from 1 species
UUGGGAAUAUGCCUUAUGGUGGGGGACAACAGUUGGAAACGACUGCUAAUACCGCAUAACGUCUACGGACCAAAGGAGGGGAUCUUCGGACCUUCCGCCAUUUGAUUAGCCCAAGUGAGAUUAGCUAGUUGGUGAGGUAAUGGCUCACCAAGGCGACGAUCUCUAGCUGGUUUGAGAGGAUGAUCAGCCACACUGGGACUGAGACACGGCCCAUACUCCUACGGGAGGCAGCAGUGGGGAAUAUUGCACAAUGGGCGAAAGCCUGAUGCAUCCAUGCCGCGGGUGUGAAGAAGGCCUUCGGUUUGUAAAGCACUUUCAGUUGUGAGGAAAGGGAUGUAGUUAAUAACUGCAUUCUGUGACGUUAACAACAGAAGAAUCACCGGUUAACUUCCUUGCCAGCUGCCGCUGUAAUACGA